rnacentral:lncRNA from 1 species
AUGCUAUAUUGUGACGUCACCAUUCUAUAUUGUGACGUCACCAUUCCCCAUUGUGAUGUCUCCAUUCUAUAUUGUGAUGUCAAAAUUCCCAAUUGUGAUGUCACCAUUAUAUAUUGUGAGGUCACCAUUCCCCAUUUUGAAGUCACCAUCCCCCAUAGUGAUGUCACCAUUCUAAAUUGUGACGUCACCAUCCUAUAUUGUGAAGUCAACAUUCCCCAUUGUGAGGUCACCAUUCAAUAUUGUGACGCCACCAUUCCCCAUUGUGAUGUCACCAUUCCCGAUUUUUACGUCACCAUUCUAUAUUGUGACGGCACCAUUCUGUAUUGUGACCUCAUCAUUCCACAUUGUGAUGUCACCAUUCAAUAUUGUGAUGUCACCAUUCUACAUUGUGACGUCACCAUUCUAUAUUUUGAUGUCACCAUUCUAUAUUGUGACGUCACCAUUCUGCAUUGUGACGUCAGCAUACUACAUUGUGACGUCACCAUUCCCCAUUUUGACGUCACCAUUCCCCAUUAUGACGUCAUCAUUCUACAUUGUGAUGUCAUCAUUCUACAUUGUGACAUCACCAUUCUACAUUGUGAUGUCACCAUUCUACAUUGUGACGCCACCGUUCUAUAUUGUGACGUCACCAUUCUACAUUGUGACGUCACCAUUCUACAUUGUGAUGUCAUCAUUCUACAUUGUGACGUCACCAUUCUACAUUGUGACCUCACCAUUCUAUAUUUUUACGUCAACAUUCUAUAUUGUGACUUCACUAUUCUAUUAUGUGACGUCGCCAUUCUACAUUUUGUCGUCACCAUUCUAUAUUGUUACAUCAACAUUCUACAUUGUGAUGUCACAAUUAUACUAUUUAAGGUCAAAAUUCCACAUUGUUACGUCACAAUUCCACAUUGUGAUGUCACCUUUCCACAUUCUGACGUCAUCAUUCUACAUUGUGACGUCACCAAUCUUCAUUGUGACGUCACCAUUCUACAUUGUGAACUCAGCAUUCUAUAUUGUGACGUUACCAUUCCCCAUUUUGACGUCACCAUUCCCCAUUAUGAAGUCAUCAUUCUAUAUUGUGUUGUCAUCAUUCUGCAUUGUGACGUCAGCAUUCUACAUGGUGAUGUCACCAUUCCCCAUUGUGACGUCAUCACUCUACAUUGUGAUGUCAUCAUUCUAUAUUGUGACCUCAGCAUUCCCAUUCUGAUGUCACCAUUCGACAAUGUGACGCCACCUUUCUAUACUGUGACGUCACCAUUCUACAUUGUGAUGUCACCAUUCUAUAUUGUGACGUCACCACUCUGUAAUGUGGCAUCACCAUUCUACAUUGUGAUGACAUCAUUCUACAUUGUGACGUCACCAUUCUAUAUUGUGACGUCAUCAUUAUACAUUAUGAUGUCACCAUUCUACGUUGUGACGUCACCAUUCUACAUUGUGACGUCGCCACUCUACAUUGUGAAGUCACCAUUCUAUAUUGUGAAGUCACCAAUCCCCAUUGUCAUGUCACCAUUCUACAUUGUGAUGUCACCAUUCCCCAUUGUGAUGUCACCAUUCCCCAUUGUGAUGUCACCAUUCUAUAUUGUGAUGACAUCAUUCCCCAUUCUGACGUCACCAUUCGACCUUGUGACAUCACAUUAUACAAUUUGA